GACAGACGUGGCAGAUUGGCUCGUUUGGUCGUGAUUGAUGAAAGGUCGUUUGGUUUGGUUCGUUCAAGUGGACUUGUGGUCGACGGUGAGCUGUUGGACGUCGAACUGGUGUGCUGUUUGUCGAUGGGGAGACUGCUGAACGUGAAAUGGCUGUUCGGAGAUGGUGAGUUAAGGACGAGGACGGCAGACUAGUGCUGGUGGUCGAUGGCUGAUCGUGAGGAAGAUGGAGGGGAUCAGGGGUCAUUUGGGUGUGACGGAUGGGGAGGUCUCCUAGGGUUUGAAAAGGUGGAUUGGAGAAG
rnacentral:lncRNA from 1 species